GUUUAUGGCCAUGCCGUACUGAACUCGCCCAAUUUCGUCCGAUCUCGGAAGCUAAGCAGGGUUGGGCCUGAUUAGUACUUGGAUGGGAGACCACCUAGGAAUACCGGGUGCCAGUAGGUU
rnacentral:rRNA from 1 species